UUUUUUUUUUUUUUUGCUUCUUGGGACGGCAGCUGUGGCAUAUGGAGGUUCCCAGGCUAGGGAAAAAGACAAAAAAAGGAAGUAAAGAGGACAUGACUAUAAUCCAGAAUAUUCUACAGGGUGGGUCUUAAUACUCUUAGGUCCUCUGGCUAAAGAUAAUGGGAAACUAUGGAAACACAAUACAGACAAGACUGCUAAUGACAGAGUUCCUUCAAGAGGAUUGGAGUAUCCCCACUAGACAAAGAACCACAACCAACUGGACCACUUACUGAAGACAAAGAGACUUGAGGAAAUUUUAGUGGAAUAAGAAAAAUAUAAAUACCAAUCAUGGCCAAAUCAUCACUUGUAGAAAAACAGUAUCUGUAGUGAUUAUACUCAUUUUCCUUACUGCUUUGAUUGGUUUAUAUUUACAUAUACGAAUGAGUUAUUCUUUUCUCCUCUUUGUUGAAUUAUCUAACAUUAGAUAUUUUAACAAUGAUUACCUGUCUACUUCAGCAUUUACACUACAGGAUUUGAAAGGGGCGAGUGUAACUUAGUUACAAAUUUUGUAGUACCUUCAAAAUCCCCUUUUGUGCCUGGAAAGUGUGCUUCCUAAAAUUCCUUUCCCUACAUGGUUCUGGAUUAGAGUUUUCCAACGAGAACAACUUCCUUGAGAGUUGGAAGGUAAAGUGCAGCAAAUGAAUUUUUGGAAAGUCAUUAUAAUUCCUUGUGGUAGAUUUCCAGACUUUUUACAAGCUCUCACCUAUCAGUCACAGCGGUUUGAAAAUAACCCCCAAAAAUGGUAUGCUCCUUUCAUUAUUCCUUUUCGGUCUGAAAUUGUGAAUGUUUCUUGAUUCUCUAGCUUCAGCCAUCCAGAUUGAUACUCCUAUAUCUCUUACCAUUUUUGUGAAAGGCUUUUUCUCAUUAUUAAAGAUCGAUUAUACUAUCCACACUUGCAAGGUCUCAAUUCUCUUGAACAAACUCAGACAGGAUACAAUGAGGAAUCCUCCAUUCCUGUUUUACAUUGGUACUCCUGGCCUCUGUGGCAGUACGUCCAGUGAAGUAAGAUUGCUUGUUGAAGAUGGAUACCAGAGAGACUGCUUGGCAAAACCAGAAAUGGUGCCAGAGCACCCGAUUAGCAGGUCCUGUGAAGAAGCAUGGAGGAGAACUAAGGGGAGAUCAGGAAUGUGGAUGGGAAUUAACUGGUGGCAGGCACUCAGGCAUCCAGAACUCACCCUCAGCACCCUGGCACCACGCUGCAAACACAAAUGAUUCUAGACUUCACCUUGCUGGGAGGAAUAAAUGCAAUUACUAACAUUCUUUCCAGCUUUGGUCAGAGGAUAUUCCUAAGAGGUACAGUUGAAGCUACUGAUAGAAUGUAUCAACAAUGCUGCUUCAAAGGGACGGGAAAAGGCAUGGUCUGAAAAUGGGAACGCAAAUAAACCCAGGGUUUUUAGGGAUCAGAGCUAGAGCUAGGGCAAAGUUUACCACCCAUGAUAUUAACACACCAAAUUAUAACCCCCUAAUUCCGUAUUGAAAUUAACAACCAGUGUAUUACUUUGGAUCACAAAGCAAAUAUGCUUCUCAUCUCAAAUCCAAAUUAGGAGUGUAAAGUUUCUCACUUCAUAGAAUUUAUAUUCCUAUCACUAUUUACCAAGCAACCCUGAAACUGAAAUGAUUUAGUCAGCAAGAACAUUCUCUUAUUCUAUUUUAUGGGUGUAAUAAUUUGGCUUAAUUGUCAAUUGUAUAAGUGAUAAGACUUAGAGAACUUACAGUAAUUUGUCCUUUUUAUGGUAGAAACAUUUCACCGUGGCCUAUUUCCAAUGAAGUGACUAAAUGAAGAAACAAUAAUUUUCUUAAAGAGACAUUAAAGAGCAGUUGAAGUAAGCAUCUCUUUUGCGUGUGUAAAUCCUAAAUCAUGUCCUAAUUUUAAAGCCUUCCACAAAAAACAUUGACUGACUAACAUUCUACUUUGGGCACACAGUGAUCGACUUAAAUUAGCAGCCCUCAAAGUUUUGUUCAUACUGCUUGAUGCUGUACUGGUGGCAGAUUCUGCAAUGAGCUGAACUGGAUCCUGCUCUUCUUGUGUACAAAUCAUCACGAUACCCACAAGAAGCAAUCGGAGACCCGACAAUUGUUACUGAACUUUGCGCUCUGUGAAAACACUGCCCAGUUUCAAUUGAUAAACACACUUAUAUAUGUUCACGCCCAUGUACAAAGCCCAUACACCACAUACAGAUACAGGCACAUCACAAAACAGAGAGUAAGUCAGAGGCAUGUGAUUUACUUCCAGCAGGAAAAUCAAAGCAGUUUUCAAUUGACGUGACAGUCCAGACUGUAGCUGAAGCUCCCAAGUCUCCCUCCACUUCUGACAGCCCCAGCAAUGCUCCCCUUGAAGGGAAUCUGUUGACAAGGCAUCUUCUGGACACUUGCUGACAGGGACAAGAAGCUUAUGGGUUUUGAAUGGAAAGGAUUUGCUAAAUAAAGCUUCAAUCCAAGCCUUCACCCCUUUUUCCCCAGAGGUCAGGCCACUAAAGUCCUUGGUAGCUUUGAAAAUCACUAGGGGAACCAAUGAAUUACUUACAUUUUAGAGCUUGCUCCGUGACACUGAUCCCUAGGUAAACCCAGUUAGGAAACUAAGCUCACAUGAUUAUAUUUUUGAAAUGAAAAAGCUUGUUUUUUUGCACCCACCUUAUUAGUGGUGGAUAUUCCUCUCUGAUCCAUUGUCAAUGACUGAUUCUUACCUAAUCUAAACCUCAACACAUCAUCCUGGU
rnacentral:lncRNA from 1 species